UCCCUCGUAGCUCAGUUGGUAAAGAAUCUGUCUGCAAUACAGGAGACCCAGGUUCAAUUCCUGGGUAGGAAA
rnacentral:tRNA from 1 species